rnacentral:lncRNA from 1 species
GUAGGGGGUGGAGCUGCGUAGUAAUGCGGUGUUAAAGGGCUCAGACCUCUCAGGGGCUGCCGGCUGUCCGGGCUGGAGAGUCGCCCCCUCUGUGCCUCCGUGGAGGAGCGACCGGGCGCACAGUGAAGCAGGUGAUGUGGGCAGCGUGAUUGAUGGGGCCGAGGACCUGGAGAGGCCCGUCUGCAUUCCUCAGCAGGAGCCGGAGGAGGAGGAGGGUACAGGGUCUGGGAUUGAACCUGGGACCUACAGCAGCUCCACUGGCUCCCUGCACCCCCUUUUCUUUUUACUGUUCUUCUUCCUCUCAGCUUAUCUCUAGCAGACGCCCACGGAAAGGACAUUUCCAUCUCUGGGAGGAGGUGACUGACAGGCAGCCUUUCUUCUUUUCCCAAAUCAAUGUUGCAUUUACAAUAUUUGUGACACUGAGAGGCUGUCGCACAUGUGCACACACAUCCAAACGCCAGGGAGUGAGUGCCCCUACACAACACAGCUGCCCGAGCUUGGGAGCUGAGCCACGUUCAGAAGCUCACAUACACGGCUCCACGAGGGUCACCCGCUCCCACCAGUUCCCCCACUCAGAUGGACCCUGGCACAAACACACGUUUACUGGCAGCAACAGGGUAAAGAGAGCUGAAUGAUCCUUUUUGGUUCUGGAUCCCGAGAGAGGAACGAGAAGACAGAGGCAGAGUAGUUAUUUGUCCACUCAGGCUGCCUGCCGCUGAGACCCUAAAUGUCUCUCCCUGGGUGAAUAAUGAGAGGGUGAGGACCCCACUUUUCUUCUUCUUCCUGUUCCCCCACCCCUUGAUAAAAAUAUAUUUGAACCACAUCUCCUGCCAGGUCAUAGAUUCCAGUGGAGACACAGCUGGAUCUCUUAAAACACAAGGAGAGAUGUUUAUCUUUCCUCCCAGCUCUGCCCCCAUCACCUCCCUCUGGGCAUUGCCAGCUAAGGGCAGUGCCUGAUGAGACAAAUUAGGCGGAUUGAGCUGGGCCCCUGGUGCCUCCUGCUGACAGUGGGAGCAGGGUUGGGGGAAGGGUGGGCAGGAGACAGGAGGGGAAGGGGCAGGUAAGGCAAGAACGGAGAUGUCCCUUCCGAGUUUAUUCCUUUUCCCUUCUCUCCUCCCCACACCCCACCCCCUGCCCCAGUCAUUCCAGCGCCCCCCACCUCUGGAAAAGCUGAGUUGGGAUUCGAUCCCGGCCAGUUGCCUGAGUUCCGGAGCAGCUGUCUCAGGCUUGAGGGACAGGGGGAGGGAGCCAGGAAUGCUGGGGCUGAGGCCUGGGCUGCCCCAGACAGAGCCGGCUCUGAAUUCUGGGAAUGUUUGUGCAGCUGGAGCCCAUUAGGGGAGGGAGC